GGGUCAGUAGGUUGGUCGUGCCACCGGUACGUACUGGUCUCACUGAUUCCUCCUUCCUGAAGAACCGUAGUGCCAUUAAUUUGGUGUUGCGGGGAAACAGGACUGUUACUUUGAAAAAAUUAGAGUGUUUAAAGCAAGCUAACGCUUGAAUACAUUAGCAUGGAAUAAUGAACUAGGACGAUCGAUCCUAUUUUGUUGGUUUCUAGGAUUGACGUA
rnacentral:rRNA from 1 species